rnacentral:rRNA from 1 species
AUGGCGCUCACCGGCCAGAGCACCGACGACCAGGCCGUGCUGGACGCCGAGCACGAGCUCUGGACAACCACAUUCUCCUACAUCAAGUCCAUGGCGCUCAAGUCGGCCCUGGACCUCCGCCUCGCUGACGCCAUCCACCACCAUGGCGGCGCCGCCACCCUCCCCCAGAUACUGUCCAGGGUCGCGGUGCACCCGUCCAAGAUCCCCUGCCUGCGCCGCCUCAUGCGCACGCUCACCGUCUCGGGCGUCUUCAGCGUCGUCCAGCAGCAGGAUGUCGUCGUCCCGGCUGCCCCCGUGAACAACGACACUGGUACCUACACCGGCGCCGAGCCCUCUUACACUCUCACGCCAGUGUCCCGCCUCCUCGUCGGCUCGCAGAAGUCGGGUUCCAUCAUGGCCUUCGUGCUCAGCCCCGUCCUUGUCGCCCCCUUCCUCGGGAUCGGCGCCUGGUUCCAGCACUCACUGCCAGACCCCUGCCUCUUCGAGCAGGCCCACGGCGAGGCGCUGUGGGAGAUGUCCGGGCACGACGCGGCGCUGGACGCGCUGAUCAACAGCGCCAUGGUCUCGGACAGCCGCUUCAUCGUGGACAUCGCCGUCAGGGAGAGCGGCGACGUUUUCCGGGGGAUAAGCUCACUGGUCGACGUCGGGGGUGGCCUCGGCGCGGCGGCCCAAGUCAUCUCGGAGGCGUUCCCGCACGUGGAGUGCAGCGUGCUGGAGCUCGAGCACGUCGUCAGCAAGGCGCCGGCCGGCACCAGCGUCAAGUACGUCGCCGGCGACAUGUUCGAGAGCGUGCCACCGGCAGACGCCGUCUUCCUCAAGUCGGUUCUUCAUGACUGGGACGACGAGAAGUGUGUCAAAAUACUAAAGACUUGCAGAAAGGCCGUUCCUCCAAGAGAGGCGGGAGGGAAGGUGAUAAUCAUCGAUAUAGUGGUCGGAGCGGACAAGAAGCAUGGGGAGGUGCAUGCCUUGCUCGAUCUCUACAUAAUGUUUAUCAAUGGCGUUGAGCGAGAUGAGCAAGAGUGGAGCAAGAUCUUCCUAGAAGCUGGGUUUAGCGACUACAAGAUUAUACCGGUUCUAGGGUUCCGGUCGAUCAUCGAGGUCUAUCCGUGA